CUGAGAGCAUGCCUGGCCUGGCUUCACCACGUGCUCUGCUAUCUUCCUACACUUUUAGCUUUCUAAUUUUUGAUGAGUCUUUGCUUUCCAUCCUCUUUGUCCUUCAUUUUUCAGCUGAUUUCCUGUUCCACGAAGCACAGGCAUCUGGGAAGGGCUGCUGGAAUCCGCCACUGUGCCUGGGAACAAAGGAAAAGACAUUUCCUACAGGUUCAAAGGCUGCUACACAGGCAGAUGUGAGUGGGAAAGGAGAUGUUCACUGCUCAGGCUGAGAGAACGUUCUCUCUGCAGAAUUCUUUGAAAAGUUCUGGGCCACUGAAGGAAAAUGAGUCACAGCAGAAGAUUUUGCCUGCCUGACAGAGUGAAAACAGCAAAGAGCCAGGAAGAGACAGAUUUAUCCAGGAAGACAGAGCACCAAACCUCCCUCUGCUAUGAGCUUCUGUAUCACUAGAUGUAGACAUGCAGGAUUUCAAACAGAUAUUUCAAACAGUUUCAAACCACCAUGUUAACAUUAUAUUAAUUUGGCUUGGGGCACAUCAUAAUGUAUUGAUUUUCCAUCUCGAACACUAAGAUGUUAGACAAUUACAAGUUGUAGAAUAUUACUAAUUCUGCCAAGUUUUUCCAAUUAUUUUGUCUCCCAAAGGACAAAGAAUACAGAAAAGCUUCAUACUGAGAAAAUUACCUCUUUUUACAAAAAAGAAAAAGAAAAAAAAAAAGAAAAGAAAAGAAAAAUAAUUAAAGGAAGAAGUAUUGUGAAUAAAUAUUCUCUUAAACCAAGGAAGGAUCAGCUGAAAAAGAAUUCUUUUCCCCUACUGGAAAACAGUUGAUGUCAGGCUAAAAUAAGGUGCCAUUUAUUCAGGCACGGAUUUACCUUGGGGUGCUCCUAGUAGGAGCUGGACUUGCACCUAUAGAUCAGCUUUGGAAUAGUCAAGGCUUAAAAACAGCUAAUAAUUACUUAAUAAAUAGCAACUCAUAACCAGACUCCUCUCUGCUUUGGAAGGUCAGUGAAUUCCAUGUGGGCUCACCAUUUCAUGUCUGUGCCUGCAGAAUCUGUGCCAGAAUGGUGCUGGAUGAGUGGCAAUUUCCAGCACUUGCUGAUCUAUGGACUUCCAUUUCCUGUAACAACCCAGGAGCUCCCUGCUGGACUUGGGCAGGCACACUCACCUUGGUGGUGUUGGCUGACAGGUGAGUCACAAUUUGCUCCUCUCUGACCUGGGCCCAAGCGCACAUGAAGAGCCCUGUUCCACUUGGAUCUGUUCUUGUUUUAUGUCUGCACUGACUGGGGCAAGUGAUUACACAAAUCACAGGACAAUGGACAUCUGUCCUGGAUCUCUGUUGCUGCAACAUCCCUAGCCAGCAACACCCAGAGUUUCAGUGUGGAUAAAUCAGUGUAAUGAUGAGUGUGUGUUUUCAGGAGAGCCACUGCUUUGUGCUUUAUCAGACCUUAAGAAAUUUCCCAGCAUUAUGUCACCAUAUCAACUGCAGAGAAAUCCUAGUAAGCAAAGAUUGGAUCAAGUCCUAAGUGUCAAUUCAGAGUCAUAGGACUCUAGGCUUCUAUUUUUUAAAUACAGUUUCUUGUCUAGGGGGAAAAAAAAAAAAAAAAAGGCAGCAGCAAAAUCUGCACAGAUCCGGUAGAUUUGACAUGAUGAACAGUUCAUAUCUGCUAACUGAAGCCUUUUAAACAGAUCAUUAAUUAUCAAAUUUAAACCAAAAUAUUUCUUCAUCCUUAAUGGAGAAGUCUGCUACAAUUUCAUGGCAGGGCUACAGGAUAUUAAUAGUGAAUUUGAAGAAAUUGCCUUGUGUAUCUCCAGAAUUCCCUGCUGCUUGUUGUCCAGCUGUGGCAGUAUGAAUGGUUUACAGAAGAGAACACUGUUGUCCAUAAUUUUUACAAACAGCACUGGAGCUCCUGGAGAACUGCAGAGGGCUGGUGCUUCCCCAGGAGAGUUUGCAGGCCCCUCUUGCACCCCUUCCCAUCUGUUUGCUUCUCUGGUCACCAAACUGUCCCCUGGGGGCUUUCACCUGAUGUCUGCUGUCACAGGGUGCACUGUCCUUCCACAACUGUGUGCCUGGUGUUUCACUUAACAAAUCCCUAACACAAAGACAGAAGUCUUCCAAAUAAAUUGCUAAAAUUCAGCCCCACGUAAUUUCUCCCUGACUGUUUCGCUUCUACCUGCAUGUCAAUUGCUUAUUUUAAUAAUUCUCCUUUGGUUUUACCCUCUCUAGAAUGAUUCUGUAUAAUUUUUAUUCUACCAAAUCAAUGAAUUAAUAGUCAGUGAAGUUUCUGAAAUGGCUCUUCAUGGAGGAGCAGGUGAAGGUGGGCCUCACUGUGCUUUCCAGUAUGAAGUACAUUCACAUGUGCCAGUAACUUUUAAUAAGACAUAGAAAAAUCCCAAGUCCUCACUUUAGUGAGUGAGGUAGCUCAUCCCCAGAUGCUCAAUUUGCAAUUUUAGGAAGUAUGUGGCUCUCAAACUUCCAGGUAAAUAUGAGCCUAGAAUGACCAAGGCAGAUACUUGGAUGUGCAGAGCACUUGGGACAAUUACCUUAUUGCCUUAUUCAUUCCUGUGAGGUGUUAACCCAGACUCCCAGGAAUGGUAAUUUAGAUGUCACGAGGAGUUAUUGAACUCCUCAUGUAAGAAAGAUCUGUACAAUUUGCUGUGAGUGACAUCUCAGUGUCACAAGGGGGUGAUAGCUGGAUGACAGUGCCACUUACUUGUUUCUUCCCCCAUCAAAAAGAAGAAAAAAUUAGAAAAUGUAAUUUGUUAUAUUAUUGAUUUUUAAUAAUUUUUUCACAUUUUAAGAAUGUUUUGCACUUGGUGCUGUACAGCUGAGGAACUAAACCCUUUCCUCAAAAGGCUUUCAAAGAAAAACUGCACUAGCCACAGAAAGAUGGACUAAACCAGUCCUGGUCAAUAUAGUAGUCUGUGAGUUAAAUAUUUGCUCAUUUGUAUGGCAUAAAAUGAGUGUCAUUUCUGAUUAACUGGGCUUGGUUAGAAAGCUGGAAGAGUAGCACUGCCAGGACAAGCUGGAGAGCAAGUUAAAGACAGGAAAGAGCUGUGUCAUUAUCACAAGAGCUGGGGACAAACAGAAGAUUCUCCUAUGCAGGAAAGGACUUUCUGAUCUCUCCCCAUCCUGAUUCCCAUUUUGUGCUAUUAUGAGGGUCUGAAGGAAUGAAGAAGAGUAGGAGCUUAAAUUAAAACAUAAAACUCUUGUGAAUGUAACUGGGGAAGACUUUCACUCCUGCAUUGAUCAUGCAAUCUGGAAGAAGUGCUGCUUCUUAAAGAAGUAAAAUGUAAGAUUUGGAUAAGGAGGUGAAUUUCAGUUUUAGGGCAUUAGCUUUUGUUCCAUGAAAAUUCCUUUAAGCCACUAAUUCAGAUCAAUAAAUAACCAGAAGAAUAAUCCAUGGACUACUACUUAGACCACCACUUGAGUGUUUCAAGAAUAUAACUUAGAAAUGUGAUUUCCCCCACCCCCAUCCCAUCCCACAGAAAACUUGUGAUUUUAUGUGCUUUUUUAUGCAUGUAUUAAACAAAUGGCACAGCUGAAUAGCUUUUCUUAAAAACUGGACAUUCACCAAAAAGAAGUUUGCCAGCACAGACAAUUAGGCUUUCUUCUUUUAACAAUAGAUUGACUGACUGGCACAUUUGAAAUGCGAGCGUAUUUUUUAUUCCUCCGUUCACCCUUUGAGCUGAUAAACAUGAACAAUGGGAAACAGCUGGGACAGGAAAACAUUUUAGUUUGUAUUUUCAAAGCAAGCAAGAAAUAAACCCAUCAGUGGGAGCCAGAUCACAUCUUCUGCCUUAGGGGUAGUCAGCAAUUGGGGGGAAAAAUACGAUCCAUAUUUUUAAUCAAACAUUACAUAUUUAUUAAUGUGCAGCUGGCCUAUUGUGUGCAUGAUUUUUUUUCUUUAACGCUGUGCUGCGUCCGUCAGCCUGACAUUGUUCUGUAACUGACAUUACUCUAUAAGGAUCUGGAAAUGCACAGAUUUAAUAGGAAUCAUUGAGACAAUUGCUUUCUGUAUUAUUAGGUCUGUGUGACGUAGGUACCAUCUGAAAUUCAAUUUUAGAAGAAAAAUAAGAUAUUGUUCUAUCAAGGCAAUUUUGUGCACCUGUGAUACAGUAAGAACAUACACCCCCAUGCUCCUAUUUUCCUCCUCACUCAUCUAACUCCACGGCCGUUUAAUGAUAUGUGCCACUCUUUUGUUAAAAAUGUUUGGCCAAAUGUAUUUUGAUGCUUAUUGAGAUUAAACUUUCAGUACAUCUCCCUGGUAGCAAAGGUUGGGCUGUUCAUUAGUUGGAGGUUUGGCCUUGUCAGGUUCCAUUGACUGCUGGCUAAAAGGAUCACUUUAUCAUCAUUUGUCUGCAAUGGAGACAGUCUUUAUUCAGCCUUGAUUCCUCUGGGGUCACAGCUGUCAUAACUUCACGUGCUUUAUAAUGCAGACCCCAGUUUCACAAUCCCCUUAGGUAAUUGUCUAAUAGAUUCAGUUUACCUUAAUAUAGAUAAUAUGUUAUUUACAAAGAAAUACAAGGGAAAGUGAGGGACAAUAUUGCUCAAAACAUCCCCCUCCUAAGCUUGGGAUCAAUCAUUUGGAAAUUAUGUUAAACUCAGUUCUGAUUUUGAAUCCAAAAGGGAAAUAUACCUCUUUUUCUGAGUUUUGCUCUAUUUUACUCUGAUUCUUCAGCUGCAAAUCUCUAGACUGAGCCUAGAGAUUUUCUGCUGAUGAAAGUUGAGAUAACUCUGCAAAUUUUGAUAAGGCUAUGGUGUUUUGGAGAAUGAGGCAUUCAUUUUCCUUUACAGUUCAGGUCCUGAAUAUUUUAUGUGCUGAAAACUAUAUUUCAAUUUAACUUGAAACAGUAAGUUUGACUUCAGGUCAGUGUGUUAACCUUUUGAGCCAGAAACCAGCAAGGGCAAGGAUGGGGCUACUGCUGCCCCUUCUUGUCCAAGGCGGGCACCCACCCUGGUGCUCUGAGGAGGGUCUCUCUUCUAUGGAGCUCCUCCAGUUUUGCAUCCUUGACAAAGGAACUGGAAAUGACACAAUUUCCUCCAAAACAAGGCCAAAGAAUCAGCUUGUCUCCAUUUGAUUUAGUAAAACCUGAAAUCUUUUUACAAAACCUGGAAGAGCUCCAUCAUGAGCAUGUGAGAAGCCCAUUUUUGAGUGCCUUGGUAACCAGUGCAUUCCCCUUGCAGGUCAGCUGCUGCCUUUUUCAGAACCAUAAAGCAUAGCUCCCCAGAGGAGAUGGGCUGAGUAAUUUCCACAUUUGGUUUUCUUAAAAAUUCUUAUUAAAAGUUAGAGGAAAAAAUCAGAGCUUGAUUUUCACACUGGUACUACUGCUUUUACAAAGUGCUGGCAGCUUCAGUUUCUCUAAAUAAGAUCUACUUCUAAUAUUUUUAUUUGUAUCUUUUAAGGAUUACACAGAAACAAUUCUAUGCUUCACAGAAAGUAGUUGCCACAUUAUUUUGUUAGUGUCCCUACCAAUUAAAAUUUGCAUUUCACUAUUUUUCAAUAGGAAGAAUGAUGUUGCCAAAGUAUCCAGAAAAUGCAUUUAAAACAGGGACAGUUCUACACCAAAUUUCUAAUAUAGAGCUAUAUGGGUCCAGAAAGAUCCCUCUUUGAAGGUAACUGCUUAAGGGGAGCAAUUUCAGAGACUUUAAUCAUUACCAGAAAUCUUUUAUGUAACGUAAAUAUAAUGAAAAAUAAAUACCUUGUGGUGGGAGUCUAAACUUCAAGAGGGAAGUUUGUGGAUGCUCAAAUCCACAGAAUGGUCCCACACCUUCCUCUGCAGGAGGAUUCAAACACCAAAUCCUCUUCAUAAUUCACUGACUGUCUAUUUCUUUUACAAAGUUUUCCUGAAUGCGCGUCGGUAUUUUUGAAACAAAACAUGUCCUCCAUCAAUGGCAUCUUCUCACAGUAAAGUUUCUUUCCAAUUCCACUCAGUCAUACCUUGUGUGUGAGCUUAUGCACCACCAUGUGUUGAAUUUCCCAGCUGAUAUCUUAACUAGAAGCUGAUUUUCAUUUGAGCUUCUAAUUCAAUGCCACAACUCAUUGCACGGCAAUAUCUUAAUUACAGUAGAUUGAUAAGUAAACAAGGAAAUGCAGCUGUAGUGUUGUUGUGGAAAGUUACCCUUUAAUUAUUAGCUUUCAUUUAUUUUUUAUUAUUUUUUCCCAAAUAUCUUCCAUAUAAUAAAUUAAUUCAAAAUAGCUAUAGAAAAAAUUAAUAUUACAUAGGGGGAAAAAGCAACAAAAAUCCUCACAACCCUCAAAGCAAUCUUUUAAAGGAUUGCAUAAAAACUGUAUAUAAAUGCCUGUUUCCAUGUGUACUGCUGCACCAUCCAUGAAAACAGCCUUUAAGACAACUCAUCUCACAAAGGAAAAUGUCACUAGAUAUAGUGUUGAUCAUUAGAAGCACUACAGUGCAUUCGUCUGCUUGUACCCCACUUUGAUUACUAUACAGCAAAGAUGGCCACAAGCACUCAGAAAGUUUUAUUGAGGCUUAAAUCUUCAUUCAAAUGAUGUAAAGGGGCAUUGAAUGAAGAUUUAGAACUCUAUAAAGCUGCUUGGCAGUGUCUGUGGCAAUCUAUGCCACAUAAAAACUGAAAUGCUUCUACUUUCUUAUUGAAACAUUUCUACUGUAAUUCUUUAAUAUUAGGUAGCAGCCACAGUGUUGGGACAUUACCACAUUUGGGAGUAUUUCUCUUACUGAGGGUUUGCCUGCAAUCAGUUGUGCAGGAUAUUAUAGAAUGUUGAUGUCUAGGACAUAAUGGAAGAGGAAUUGUUACUGCAAUUACAUAUUAUUAUGCUUUUCAGAAGAUAAUGUGGGUUCAUUCAUGUGAGUAUUUUGAAGUAGCAAAUACCCUAAUUGCUUACAUGUCUGUUAUAAUCCUAAAUCCAGUUGACAUAUCUGAUGUACUGUUGCAUUUUAAUCUGGCCACUUGCACGUGUCCUCUUUAUGAUUUUCCUCUGACCUGCAUGAACUGUGCAAACAAGGAACACUAGUGUCUUGCAUAUUGCCUUUGCAGUUUUGGUCUGAGUAAACACCCAGGGGACAGAGAGACAGCACUGUGACCAUGUGUAUUUUUUUCAGGAAUAUAGAAUUAGCCUGUGCAAGAGCAGGGUAGGUGAUCUGAUUGUGAUAUAAUGACAAAUUUAUGAAAGAGUGUGUGUUCUGCUCCAACUCUCCUCUCACAACGUGUUGGAUUGAUGAAAGAUGUGUGGCAAAGUAUUCACCCAUUCACUUAACCAGAAAACAAAGGCAGAUGAUUAAGAAACAUCAGUAUUCUGAAGCAGCAAUCAAACUGACCCUGCCAAGGAGGGAAGAACAGCGAGUCCAGCCAAAAAGUGCUGCAGUUGUCUCGUAUUAUAACUGCAGGUGUACAGGCAGCACUUUUUCACAGACUUUCCUGAGGCAGCAAACAGGGCCAGACAACAACAGCUCACUCCAUGGAACAGCUUGGUGCUUAUGGCAGUCUCACAUGCACAUGGAGUGACAGAAAAUGGUCAAAGAUGUGCUUUUAGAAAUUCCUGCUUAAUGAUCCACUAGAGGGAGCUUAUGUAUAACCUCUGCCAGGCCAAUUAUCUCAGAACCUGAUAUUGCAUAAUUAACAAAGAUGAGGUAGUUAUGAGAGGGAUACCUGCACUGCUGUUCUUUUCUUGGUGUGCUCAGG